rnacentral:lncRNA from 1 species
UUCCACCAUGUAGAGAGAGAAAGUUGGGUUUGUCUGCUGCACAAAGAGAGGGAGUUCCACUGCAUAGAGAGAGGGAGUUCCACUGCGUAGAAAGAGAAAGUUGGGUUUUCUACUGCAUAGAGAGAGAGGGAGGACCACUGCAUAGAGAGAGGGAGUUCCACUGCGUAGAAAGAGAAAGUUGGGUUUUCUACUGCAUAGAGAGAGAGGGAGGACCACUGCAUAGAGAGAGAGGGAGUUCCACUGCGUAGAAAGAGAAAGUUGGGUUUUUCUGCUGCACAGAGAGAGAAAGUUGGGUUUUUCUGCUGCACGGAGAGAGGGAGGACCACUGCGUAGAGAGAGAGGGAGUUCCACUGCGUGGCAAGAGAGUAGCAAUGAGAAAAAA